rnacentral:rRNA from 1 species
AUGGCCGUACCAUGCGGAAUAUACCGGUUCUCGUUAGAUCACCGAAGUUAAGCAUCAUUGGGCGUGGUCAGUACUUGGGUGGGUGACCACCUGGGAACACUGCGUGCCGUU